ACUGCUCAGUAACACGUGGACAAUCUGCCCUUGGGUCUGGGAUAACUCCGGGAAACUGGAGAUAAUACCAGAUAGGUCAUAGAUGCUGGAAUGCUCUAUGGCCCAAAGCUCCGGCGCCCAAGGAUGAGUCUGCGGCCUAUCAGGUUGUAGUGGGCGUAAUGGACCCACUAGCCUACGACGGGUACGGGUUGUGAGAGCAAGAGCCCGGAGAUGGAUUCUGAGACAUGAAUCCAGGCCCUACGGGGCGCAGCAGGCGCGAAACCUUUACAAUGCGCGCAAGCGCGAUAAGGGGACCUCGAGUGUUCCUACCUAGUAGGAACUGUCCAGUUGUCUAAAAAACAACUGUUAGCAAGAGCCGGGCAAGACCGGUGCCAGCCGCCGCGGUAACACCGGCGGCUCGAGUGGUGACCGCUUUUAUUGGGUCUAAAGGGUCUGUAGCCGGUCUAACAAGUUCUUUGGAAAAUCUGGUCGCUUAACGAUCAGGCUGCUAGGGGAUACUGUUAGACUUGGGACCGGGAGAGGCUAGAGGUACUUUAGGGGUAGGGGUGAAAUCCUGUGAUCCUUAAAGGACCACCAGUGGCGAAGGCGUCUAGCUAGAACGGAUCCGACGGUGAGGGACGAAAGCUGGGGGCACGAACCGGAUUAGAUACCCGGGUAGUCCCAGCCGUAAACGAUGCGAGCUAGGUGUCAGUUUUACUGCGAGUAAAAUUGGUGCCGUAGGGAAGCCGUGAAGCUCGCCACCUGGGAAGUACGGCCGCAAGGCUGAAACUUAAAGGAAUUGGCGGGGGAGCACUACAACGGGUGGAGCCUGCGGUUUAAUUGGACUCAACGCCGGG
rnacentral:rRNA from 1 species